GCCACAGCUGCUUGCAAAUCAAGGCUUGAAUCCCCCCGAAGGAAGACAAAACAUAAGCUUGUGGGUGUCUAAAAGUAUGUAUUAUUUCAUAAGUAUGCAUAUGUGUCAGCAGAGUUUCCAAACAAACUUUUCACCACAGUGACAUUACAAGUUAGUCACAAUGAGCUGACAAACACAACGCGUUCGCCUGAGGAGGUGCCGUACCAGCUGUGCAUGAGCUGUACCUUCUACCAUGUGGUUCCUUCUGAAGUCCCCGACCCGCCAUGACAGGCAUAGGUGACCGUCACGUAAGCUGAUCACCGCACAGUUGCUGAAUCCAACCGUUUGGGCUCUCUUACGGGCAGAUGCCAUCUUGGCAACUGCAAUGCCGAUGACAAAAGUGUCAAUGAAGACACUGAUAACAUCUUGGAUGGUAACUACAAUGAUGGCAAUCAUACAGUUCUCUGACAUCCCCCGAAAGCCAUAACCAAUGGUGGUCUGGGUCUCUAAUGAGAAUAGAAAUGCUGCUGUAAAACUUCGAACCUCAUAAACACAUGGCUCUUUGUUGGGGUCUUUCAUAUCGCCGUGGGUCAGUGCAAUGAUCCAGAACAAAAUUCCAAAAAAGAGCCAUGAUAAAAUGUAGGAGAGAGCAAAUGUCAAGAACAUGACCCUCCAGCGGAUCUCCACCAGGGUAGUGAAGAUGUCAGUGAUCCAGAGAAACCAAUCCUUUGGAAUGUUCUGCACAACCAUGUUACAACUCCCAUCUUUUUUUACGUAUCUUUUCUUCUUAGAGUUAUAGUCGUCAUCUGUAAGCACACUAGGAUUUUCGUCACUGCACUUCACUCCAGAAUACUGUACUGUGUCUGAGUUCAUGCUGCCUCAGUCUAGAGAAGAGAGAAAUGCACAGAUUCAAAGAAUGAGUGGGCUCAGCCAGGAUAGCAAUAGCUGUUGUCUGGGUUGAGGCCUGCGCUUUCUUCCAUUAACCAUUAAAGGAAGCAUCUCUGAACUGCAGCGCCUUGAGAAGGUAAAUGAAAAGGAAAUGGAAGCUUCCCAUUGGGAGAACCUCUGGCAGUAGACAAUUUUUUUUCAGCCAAACCACUAAGCAUCUUGUCCACUUAUUGCUACUCCCACCCAGCCAUGCUGGGCAGCAGGUUCCACUAAGCUAACUGGCUGAACUGGUGUUCAUUUCCUCUGGACACAGAGCCAUGCAUGUUUUUGCCAGAUUAUGGAUUGAUAUUUCUGUAAUCAUGUGAAAUAGUCAAAGUAUCAUCCAGUUAUCUUUUCUCGUGAACUAUUGGAUACAAACAGAAAGAGGCCCUGUGGUUUUUUCUCCAAUAUUUGUGUGAAAAAAAAAAACCCAGUGCAGAUUUUCUUUUGUUAAUGCAACUGCAGCUGUGAAAACUCAAUUUCCACAAACUAAUUGCCGUUAUAGUUAUUGCUUCAGUCCUUAUACUGUUUGUGAAAUGUGCAAUUUACACAGAAAUCUGUGCCGGUGUUUGUGAAUUUUACAGUCUGUUUCUAGCUCAUGUUUUGAAUUUUAGAGCAUCAGAUUGGCUCACAAAUCAAUAUCUGUUUCAUGAACGUUGAAAAUUACACACAUCAUCAAAACCAUCAUGCCCAGUAUUUCUUAAUGACAAUCAUAAUGCAUAAACCCUGUACUGUGUCCCACAAAGAAUGUUUAAGACUUUAAAUAACUCAGUUAGUACUAACUCCAGGGUGAUUUCAGUUUGGAGCGCUAAAAUAGAUAACCUCAAACAUUCUGUCAUCAUGAGCCCACCCUCAUGUCCUUUUCAACCUGCAUGACUUUCUUUCUUCUGCAGAAUAUAAAGGGGAAACAUUCUGAAGAAUGCCCUGGUUAAUUUUCUAAUGUUCUGUGCUCCUUUUGUGUCCUUUUUAAACUGGAAAGCGUAAGUCCCUCUUCAGUGUAAUUGCAUUCAAAUGGUCAUGCCAUGCCACGAGGAUGAGUAAAUGAUGACAUAAGACAUUUCACUUUUGCUGAACUAUCCCUUUAAUGCACAGUCACAAUUUCAUAUAAUGAUGAAUCAGUUGGUGGUCAAGUUCCUGAGGAAACAGAACCAGCUUCUCAAAAACUGAAUCUUGCACUAGCAUAAACAAACUGCAAAGGCCACUUCUUGUGUCAAACAAUGUAAAUGAAAAGUCACAAACAUUUAAACAAAAUGCAUACUAAAAUAGUAAUUCUGUAAUUACUAAUUCUGCCCUGUCCUUCAGAUGACCAUUUCUUAAGACAAACACUGGCACAAGAUCAUGUGGUCAGGUAAAGGAUGCCAAUGUUUUAUCAAAUCAUUGUGGCACAAGUAUGUGUCUUUGAAAGCUAAACAUGCCCUUUCUUUGCUUUGUUUUUUGUUUUGAUCCGACCAACACAGUAAUUCAGAGAUAAAACUUUUUUGUGUACUAAAUAGUGAAAUGGUGACUGCAUCAAUGAUUGUGUCUGCAUCUGACUGUCAGGGAACAUAUAAAAGUUUUAGACAUAUAAUUAGAAACCCAGUCAAUAUCACGCUGAAGGAUACUAGAUUCUUUAGAAGUGUGACAGGAAAUGUUCAUAAUUUGUGGUCUUCUAAAUGGACGCUUGUGUCUUACUUCUUUCAGAUUGAUUCUUUCACUUACGAUCAGCUAAAGGGGAAGGUGGUAUGCAUAAACUGCUCAUGUGGGACAUAUGGCAAUGUUCUGAAUGUCAAAGAACUAGUACAGCUUACCUCUGUUAUGUUUCCUGCACUGCUUGAGGGCUUUACAAGACUAUUACAUGCCCACUUAAAGCAAAUAACAUCAAUGCAGAUACAGUAUUCAGUCACACGAAACCACCCGUUAUGUGGGGAGCAGAACUUCUUUGCCCUAGGCCCUGUCUCACCCAUAAUGACCUUUAAUUUUUUGGUUCCCAGGAAGUUAGAGGCACUUUAUUUGGCUAAUGUUUUACCCAUUCCUUCACAAGCUCCUGUGGAUCAGAGCACCAGACUGUGUUGAGCAAAGUUUACUGUUAUGUAAAGCUUUUUAUCUGUGCAAGGAUCUUGGAAGGUGGCACGUGCAGGCUACAGGUGUGGUACACUUUGGUUUCUUUAAUUUUUCCACAGACAUGUUAGUUAAAACACAGAGACAAAAGAGUAAUUGAGAUGAGGACUAAGCUGUCACCUUGUUAGGACUUUUCCGCAUUACAAUAUGCUUAAAGUGCUACUUUAUUACUAGCGUGAGUACCAUGUUAGCCAAGCUCCGUUAAUCUUUGCCCCGAAGCACACAUCAAAAACAGAGAUGUUGACAUUUUUAAUGUCCCUGGAAUACAUGACAACAGCACUUUGUAAGUUUAAGAUUAAUAGAAACAAAUUAGCAUGGAAUAUUUAUGCAACAUUGAGUUUUGUGCUGUGUCAAGCUGUUUAGACAUUCCAAGAAAAUUCCUUAAAACAGUAUAUACAAGUUGAGCAGCAUGGAUUUUUGUUUGGAACAAAUUCUUAAUGGCUCAGUUCAUACAUCACUAAUUAUGUUUGACAAAUAAUAUUUCUGGUUAAUUUAUAACAUUUAAAUGUAUCUUUAAUUAUGAAACAGAUUAUAUGGAAAAAAUAAUUUUAUUGGACUUCUUUUGAGUCAUUUGAGUCCAUUGUUUUCAUAGAUUACAGCAUGUUCUCUCAGACACCUUUUGCACUCCCAUUUAAAGCUUGAGACUUGUCCUCCCUAAAGCAGCUCGAGUGUCACCCAUAUCCUGGCGCAGCCCUUCCUUUAACGCCUUAAAACCUUAGCAGAAUAGGUUUAUCGCUUCUAACAUGCCUCUUUUCUGAUCUGUGUCUGACAGCAACAGGAAACAAGAAAUAGCAUUCACUUUUGGGGGGCGGACUUGGGAGGCGGAUGACUGAUCUUUUAGGACUAGGCUCAAAUUGUUGUCCACCCCGUGUCCACCCAUUCAAACUUAACACUUAAGACUCUGAAUCUGUGUAAUUUAGGUUUACAAUCAUUUUAACUCAAGUAAUUUUUCACGAUCUACAAGCAUUGUUCUCACAAAUAGUGUUAUUUCUUCUCACAGGAGAGCUGUGAUUUGCCAUUUCUAGUGAAUAAAUAAACAGACUGAGAAUGAGG